CGAUGUGAGGGUAAUCUGCCUGUGACAUCUCUCACGCCAUUGAUUGCCAGAAUUGAUUCAGCUGAUCUGGCUGGCUAGGCAGGUGUCCCCUUCCUCCCUCACCGCUCCAUGUGUGUCCCUCCAUAAGCUACAGCUGCGAGCUCAGUGGAAGAGGAUGACCUUCCCCUAUAAUAAAGGAGGGCCAUUCUUUGGUUAAGGGGACACAAGUAUCUGCCCUCUCCUGCUAGGACCUCCAAGCAAGCUCUCAAGUAUAAUCUUUUUUUUUUAAAUGUUUGUUUAUUUAUUUAUUUUUGAGAGAGAGGGAGUGAGCACAAGUGGGGAA
rnacentral:snRNA from 1 species